ensembl:lncRNA
UUCUCUAACUGUUUUCUUUUAUGUGUGUGUUUAUUGACAAUUUCUGUUCUGUUUUGGCUUCGUAGAUGAUCUCUACAAGUGGGCCAAGGAGUUUUUUUUCUGGGUACACACAGCGUGCAUUUAAUCUGUAGGCAAAGAUGGAGUGUUGCUCUAGCUGUCUUACCUUCUCCCGGCCUGCUGAGUUUCCUGCAGGGCAGACUACAGUGUUUCAAAGCAGCUUUGCCUGAGAUGUUUAGGUUCUGCUCACCAUCACCACGAGAGAGCAACAAGGUUUUGGGGCUGUUAUGGGAACCGGAUUUGGACAGUGAUCCAGUUUUUUAGCGUGGAAAAACAUAGCCGGGUUUCAGAUUGGGCAUUGGCUCCAGCCCCAGUACAAAAGGAAAAUGUUUCAAGAUAUUUUUACUGCUAAUAGGCAUUUCUAGGCAAUAUUGAAGAGGGCUUUAACCGUCGUCUUUCAUCUCAGCUCCCCUAAAAGUCUAUUUACUCUGCUGUCAGCACUUUUAUAAAUCAGUGAUUGUGAUUUUCUUCAUGUUUACUGGGAACAGCAGCUGCAGUAAGCUAUGUGAGGUUAUUUCAAUCAUAUUUCAUCCUUAUCAGAUUUUAAAAACAUCCCCCUAGUUAUUGGCGGACACGGUCAAAGAUGAUGUACGGUGACAAUGCAUAUAUCUGUCACAGAUGUCUCUCGUUCGAGCGCUUGUUGCACUGAAAUCCCAAAAUAAACGCAAUCAAAUCUGCUGUUACUGAAAUACA